rnacentral:rRNA from 1 species
UACGAAGGGGGCUAGCGUUAAUCGGAAUUAUUGGGCGUAAAGAGCUCGUAGGCGGUUUGUCGCGUCUGCUGUGAAAACUGGAGGCUCAACCUCCAGCCUGCAGUGGGUACGGGCAAACUAGAGUGCGGUAGGGGAGAUUGGAAUUCCUGGUGUAGCGGUGGAAUGCGCAGAUAUCAGGAGGAACACCGAUGGUGAAGGCAGAUCUCUGGGCCGUAACUGACGCUGAGGAGCGAAAGCAUGGGGAGCGAACAGG